GAUGAACGCUAGCUACAGGCUUAACACAUGCAAGUCGAGGGAAACGACAUCGAAAGCUUGCUUUUGAUGGGCGUCGACCGGCGCACGGGUGAGUAACGCGUAUCCAACCUGCCCACCACUUGGGGAUAACCUUGCGAAAGUAAGACUAAUACCCAAUGACGUCUCUAGAAGACAUCUGAAAGAGAUUAAAGAUUUAUCGGUGAUGGAUGGGGGAUGCGUCUGAUUAGCUUGUUGGCGGGGUAACGGCCCACCAAGGCGACGAUCAGUAGGGGUUCUGAGAGGAAGGUCCCCCACAUUGGAACUGAGACACGGUCCAAACUCCUACGGGAGGCAGCAGUGGGGAAUAUUGGGCAAUGGGGGAAACCCUGACCCAGCAACGCCGCGUGAAGGAAGAAGGCCUUCGGGUUGUAAACUUCUUUUAGCAGGGACGAAGGACGUGACGGUACCUGCAGAAAAAGCAACGGCUAACUACGUG
rnacentral:rRNA from 1 species